CAAACACCGGUUACCAAUAUGAUGACCGAAGUUAAGCAACAUCAAGUUUGAUCAGUACUUGAAUUGGUGACCGCUUGGGAAUACCAGGUGCUGUAA